CUUCUACGGAGGGCAGCAGGCGCGCAAAUUGCCCAAUGUCAAAAAAAAAACGAUGAGGCAGCGAAAAGAAAUAGAGCCGGCAGUGCCAAUGGCAUUGCCGUUUUCAAUGGGGGAUAUCUAAACCCAUCCAAAAUCGAGUAUCAAUUGGAGGACAAGUCUGGUGCCAGCACCCGCGGUAAUUCCAGCUCCAAAAGCGUAUAUUAAUGCUGUUGCUGUUAAAGGGUUCGUAGUUGAAUUGAGG
rnacentral:rRNA from 1 species